rnacentral:tRNA from 1 species
UUAACUCAGUGGUAGAGUAACGCCGUGGUAAGGCGUAAGUCAUCGGUUCAAAUCCGAUA